UACGGGGGGAGCAAGCGUUGUUCGGAAUUACUGGGCGUAAAGGGCUCGUAGGUGGCCAACUAAGUCAACCGUGAAAUCCCUCGGCUUAACCGGGGAACUGCGUUUGAUACUGGAUGGCUUGAGUUUGGGAGAGGGAUGCGGAAUUCCAGGUGUAGCGGUGAAAUGCGCAGAUAUCGGGAAGAACACCCGUGGCGAAGGCGGUUCUCUGGGACGGUACUGACGCUGAGACGCGAAAGCGUGGGGAGCGAACAGG
rnacentral:rRNA from 1 species